rnacentral:tRNA from 1 species
GGGCCCGUAGCUUAGAUCGGCUGGAGCGCCCGGCUGAUAACCGGGAGGUCAUGUGUUCAAAUCACAUCGGGCCCA